CGGAUGUGGGAAUCGGAUUCCGGACGCACGCGUGGAUCAAUCCCCCACCACCAGGUCCACCACUCGUCCGGGGCCGCCACGUGUCCGUCAUUAUUAACCCAACACUGCUUCUUCACUACUGCACACUGAACUCUCUCUCUCAACGAAACCCUAAUUUUCUGUGUCUGGAUUUUUUCCCACGUACCAAACACUUUCUCUUUCGUUAUUUUGUCUCUCUCCAAGUCCUCUCUGGAAUUGCAUGGUUUUGAUUCUGGGAUUGCAUUUUUUUUUUUUGAAUUUUAACUCGAUUUUCUUAUUUCUUUAGGGAAGGUGUCAGAAUCAGCUGGAAGAUUAUUCACUUUCUAGAAUCUGAAGGUUUUUGAGCCUUUUUACAGAUUAUGGAAUGGAUUUUGACCCGACUUUCUCGUUUUCUGAACACGGAUGGGAGAAUCAUCUGGAAGAUCCAUCACUCGCUUGAAUCCUAAGUUUUUUGAUUUUUUUUUUUUUGAAAAUUUGGAUUAAAUUUUUUGCUUUUUUCUAUGAAUCUGCGCUUUUGAAUUUUUUUUGGGGGAAAUUUUUGUUGUGAAAUUUCGCUCAAUUUUUUCAUUUUCCAGUCAAAGAUGGCAGAACAGCCUCGGAGAUUUACAGUAGGGUACGCUCUCGCGCCAAAGAAAGUGAGCAGUUUCAUCCAGCCUUCAUUGGUGGACCAUGCGAAGCAGCGCGGUAUUGAUCUCGUUCGAAUCGAUCUGGACAAGCCAUUGAUCGAACAAGGACCGUUCGAUUGCAUCAUUCACAAAAUGAAUGACGAGGAUUGGAAGAAUCAGUUGGAGGAGUUCUCGACGAAGAACCCUAAUGUCGUCAUAAUCGACCCGCCGGAUGCAAUUGAGCAGCUUCACAGCCGGAUUUCGAUGCUGGAGGUGGUAAAGGAUUUGAAAAUUCCGGAAGGAACGGAGAGUUUUGGGAUUCCGAAGCAAAUUGUGAUUUAUGAUCCGAAAUCGUUAUUGGACUCCAAGGUGUUGGAUGGGCUGAGUUUUCCGGUGAUUGCUAAGCCGUUGGUGGCAGAUGGGAGUGCGAAAUCUCAUAAAAUGUCGCUGGCGUUCAACGGAGAGGGGUUGAAGAAGCUGACCACUCCUAUUGUGUUGCAGGAGUUUGUGAACCAUGGCGGGGUUAUCUUCAAGGUGUAUGUAGUUGGGGACCAUGUGACCUGUGUGAAGCGCAGGUCGUUGCCCGAUGUUUCGGCGGAGAAGUUGGGGGCAUCCGAGGGUUUGUUGACAUUCUCUCAGAUAUCAAACUUGACUGCAACUCAAGAACCUGGUGAAAAUGAUUGUGAAGACAUAAUGAAUCACGUGGAAGAAGCUGAGAUGCCACCAUUAAAUUUUGUUAAUGAAAUUGCAAUAGGACUGAGGAAGGCAAUGGGACUUAAUCUUUUUAACUUUGAUGUGAUCAGAGAUGCUAAGUUAGGAAACAGGUACCUUGUUAUUGAUAUCAAUUACUUUCCGGGCUAUGCGAAAAUGCCAUCUUAUGAGACUGUGUUGACUGAUUUUUUCUGGGAUAUUGUGCACCGUAAGAGUUUGGGCAUGAAAGACUUUGAGCAGAGUGGUUCUGAUUGUAGAAAAAGUGAUAAAGAAGCCUGAUAUUAUGACUGGGAUGAUAAUGCAGUUUAAGUUUGAGUUACAUGGCAGGCCAUGUAUACAUUUCUUGGGGUAGGUUGUAUUGGUUCCUUGAAUUGGAAUAAUGGGUUUCUUCACAGAAGCACUUGAAUGGCAUGGAAUAAUGUGGACUGUUCCCAAGUGAGGUGCGAUGAAAGGAAAUGAAUUUCUCAACUCUCUCAAGUUUGUGGUGCCCCAUCCAAAAAUUGAUUGAUGGCAGCAAAAUCUCUGAUCCAGUUCAACUGAAGGAAGAGCAUGGGGCUCAUUUUCAAGAAAAUUUUGACACUAAGUGUACCGAGACGCGGCAUAAGUCCUGAGAUCAUCAAUUUAGGUUUGUCUUUAGUAAAAGAGACAUAUGUCUUGUACUUGGGGAGCAUAAAGCACUGGGUUUUGAUGAUUAUUCUUUCUUCCCUUCUUUUGAAGAAAUUGUUAAACAUUACUGAUCCUGAUAUCUUUGAAGCUAUGACAAGUUCUUUCU